rfam:Dipodomys ordii contig_21820, whole genome shotgun sequence.
GGGAAAGUAGCUCAGUGGUAGAGUGCUUGCCUUGCAUGCAUGAGGCCCUGGGUUCAAUUCCUCAGCACCA